AGAUUGAACGCUGGCGGCAUGCCUAACACAUGCAAGUCGAACGGGAGUAGCAAUACUCUAGUGGCGGACGGGUGAGGAAUACGUAGGAAUUUGCCCUUAAGUGGGGGAUAACCCGGGAAACCCGGAUUAAUACCGCAUGACCUCGAAAGAGCAAAGUGGGGGAUCGCAAGACCUCACGCUUUUGGAGAAGCCUACGUCGGAUUAGCUAGUUGGUGAGGUAAUGGCUCACCAAGGCGACGAUCCGUAACUGGUCUGAGAGGAUGAUCAGUCACACCGGAACUGAGACACGGUCCGGACUCCGUACGGGAGGCAGCAGGUGGGAAUAUUGGACAAGUGGGCGCAAGCCUGAUCCAGCAAUGCCGCGGUGUGUGAAGACGGCCUUCGGUUAGUAAGCGAUUUAAGUUAGGUAAACGAAAAACUACGACGUACUAAC
rnacentral:rRNA from 1 species